rnacentral:rRNA from 1 species
AUGGCCCAUGGGAAGAGGUCUAGGCAGCAGCAAGCCGAAACAACCUCCGUCAGCCUGAUGGACCUGGACGGCGGCGACAUGGCGCGCAUCCUCAUGCUCUUCUCCGGCCACCACAACAGCCACGGUCACCAGGGCGCUGCCGCGCCCGCGUCGCCGGAGAGGGUGUUCGAGUGCAAGACCUGCAGUCGGCGGUUCCCGUCCUUCCAGGCGCUCGGCGGGCACCGUGCCAGCCACAAGAAGCCGCAGCUGGCUGACGGCGAGCCGGCCAAGCCCAAGGUGCACGGCUGCUCCAUCUGCGGGCUCGAGUUCGCCGUCGGCCAGGCGCUCGGCGGACACAUGCGCCGCCACCGCGCCGUCGCGGCCGCAGGGGCCGGCGUCGAGCGCGGCCUCAGCCUCGACCUCGACCUCGGGCCGAGAGGCGACGGCAAGAAGAAGACAACGGCGGUGGCGGCCGGACUGAUGAUCGACCUGAACGUGCCGGCUCUGGCACUGGAGGAGGAGGAGCCGGCCGAUCAUGCCAAGCUGGGGCUCGCCGUGGAAAUGCAGUUUCCCGUGGUGGUUGACUUCCGACGUUGA